UGCAAGUCGAACGGUAGCACAGAGAGCUUGCUCUCGGGUGACGAGUGGCGGACGGGUGAGUAAUGUCUGGGAAACUGCCUGAUGGAGGGGGAUAACUACUGGAAACGGUAGCUAAUACCGCAUAACGUCGCAAGACCAAAGAGGGGGACCUUCGGGCCUCUUGCCAUCAGAUGUGCCCAGAUGGGAUUAGCUAGUAGGUGGGGUAACGGCUCACCUAGGCGACGAUCCCUAGCUGGUCUGAGAGGAUGACCAGCCACACUGGAACUGAGACACGGUCCAGACUCCUACGGGAGGCAGCAGUGGGGAAUAUUGCACAAUGGGCGCAAGCCUGAUGCAGCCAUGCCGCGUGUAUGAAGAAGGCCUUCGGGUUGUAAAGUACUUUCAGCGGGGAGGAAGGUGUUGUGGUUAAUAACCGCAGCAAUUGACGUUACCCGCAGAAGAAGCACCGGCUAACUCCGUGCCAGCAGCCGCGGUAAUACGGAGGGUGCAAGCGUUAAUCGGAAUUACUGGGCGUAAAGCGCACGCAGGCGGUCUGUCAAGUCGGAUGUGAAAUCCCCGGGCUCAACCUGGGAACUGCAUUCGAAACUGGCAGGCUAGAGUCUUGUAGAGGGGGGUAGAAUUCCAGGUGUAGCGGUGAAAUGCGUAGAGAUCUGGAGGAAUACCGGUGGCGAAGGCGGCCCCCUGGACAAAGACUGACGCUCAGGUGCGAAAGCGUGGGGAGCAGACAGGAUUAGAUACCCUGGUAGUCCACGCCGUAAACGAUGUCGACUUGGAGGUUGUGCCCUUGAGGCGUGGCUUCCGGAGCUAACGCGUUAAGUCGACCGCCU
rnacentral:rRNA from 1 species